rnacentral:rRNA from 1 species
GUCCUUUGAUUUUGGGGAAUGUAGAAGGCAAGUGGCCCUUUUAAUACAUGCUAGUAUGUCUAUCUGAUGGUCAAAAGAUCUAAGGAUAGCUCGUGCAGACAGGUGAGUAAAUCCGGAAUCCAAAGUGCUGGGCCGGAGUCUUAUUAGGUAGAAGGUGGUGUAAAAGACCACCUUGCUGAAGAUGGGUAGCUUAGUUGGAGCCACACUUUCACUGAAACAAGGGGAAGGCUCACAUAGAGGCAGCAGUAGAGAAUCUUGUGCAAUGCACGAAAGUAUGACACAGAGAGGACACAUUUAAUUGAGCCCGUCAAAUUAAGUGCCAGCCGACGCGGUUAGACUUAAGGGCUGGUCUUUAUAAGUAAAAAGGCGUAAAGGAUGUGUAGGCCAAGAAAUUGUCCAAGAAGGUAAAUGGAAUUUUUCUGGAGCGGUAGAAUGUGAGGAUAGAAAAUAGAACACCUAAGGUUAAAACUAUUUACCACAAAAUAGGCUGAAACAUGAAAGUGUGGGGAGCAAACAGGAUUAGAGACCCUGGUAGUCCCACACUGUGAACUUUGAAGAUGAUGCUUAGCAGACCCGAAAGGUAAAAUCUUCCGCCUGAGUAGUACGAUCGCAAGAUUAAAAUUCAAAAACUUUGGCUGUUCACUAUUUCGAUUAGAGGAGCGUGUAGUUUAAUUCGAUGGUCCGCGUGUUACCUUACCCCAGCUUGAAUCUAUGACCGGUAUUGCAUGGCCGUCGUAAGUCCGUGUGUUAAGCUAGAAGGGACCCAAUCCGGGCGUUUGCCCGAAGGAAGUCAGGUCUUAUGAUCCGAAUGUUGGGGGAUUUUAUGCGCUACAUUUUCUUAUAUAAUGAGAGACUUGAAAGGUAAGCCUCUAAAGUAAGAGUUCGGAAGGUCGCUGUAAAACGACUGGAAGUUGGAUUUAAUAGUAAUCGGAAAGUAGGGCGUUCCGGUGAAUUGGUACAAGUGUUAGCACAAAUUGCCCGUCACCUUUACCUAGGAUGGUUAUUCGGACGCCUUCGGUGGUUACGAAUGCCUACGAGGUAAAGCAAGUCGUAACAUGGUGAGGGAGGGGGAACCCUCCCUUGAAAAUGAAGCAAAAAUCUUGCAUUUUAUUUACACUAAAAAGUUAGUCUAAAAAGU